rnacentral:rRNA from 1 species
GACGAACGCUGGCGGCGUGCUUAACACAUGCAAGUCGAACGGAAAGGCCCUGCUUGCAGGGUACUCGAGUGGCGAACGGGUGAGUAACACGUGGGUGAUCUGCCCUGCACUUCGGGAUAAGCCUGGGAAACUGGGUCUAAUACCGGAUAGGAGCCAUUUUUAGUGUGAUGGUUGGAAAGUUUUUUCGGUGUAGGAUGAGCUCGCGGCCUAUCAGCUUGUUGGUGGGGUAAUGGCCUACCAAGGCGGCGACGGGUAGCCGGCCUGAGAGGGUGGACGGCCACAUGGGGACUGGGAUACGGCCCAGACUCCUACGGGGGGCAGCAGGGGGAAUAUUGCACAAUGGGCGCAAGCCUGAUGCAGCGACGCCGCGUGGGGGAUGACGGCCUUCGGGUUGUAAACUCCUUUCGCUAGGGACGAAGCUUUUUGUGACGGUACCUAGAUAAGAAGCACCGGCUAACUACGUG